CUGUGAAAUGUAUCUGCUUAACGGGUACACUGCAGUUGAAACUGGUUUUCUUGAGUGCGUAAGAGGCAGGCGGAAUUCGUUGUGUAGCGGUGAAAUGCUUAGAUAUGACGAGGAACUCCUAUUGCGAAGGCAGCUUGCUGGGUCGUUACUGACGCUGAUGCUCGAAGGUGCGGGGAUCAAACAGGAUUAGAUACCCUGGUAGUCCGCACAGUAAACUAUGGAUACUCUCUGCCGGCGAUAUAUUGUCGGUGGCCAAGCGAAAGCGUUAAGUAUCCCACCUGGGGAGUACGUUCGCAAGAAUGAAACUCAAAGGAA
rnacentral:rRNA from 1 species